UCAAGUCUGGCAUGACUGGUGGCCUGUCAUUCUGGGCUAGAACUCAGAGAUCUAUCUACAUGACAAGAAAUAAUUUUAUGAAGUGAGAAGUCCACCCAUAUCGCUCAAUGACUAUCACAGUGAUGUCAAAUUUGACUGGCUAAAUGCAUAAGAAAUGAGGAUCAAGUUUUAGGAAAUUAUGCUAACCUAGAUAGAGUUAACAUCAUGAAAUAUGAGACCAUAUUUGUAUGAACAAGAUCUCUAAAAUGCACCUUACCAAACAGUUUCAGUCUGCUGCGAAACUGAACAGAUCUACAGAACAAAAAUGACCUUGCAGGAGGAGAAAAAGGCAUAUUCUGCAUAGAGUAAUCAAAUAGUUGUUGGUGUACCUGAAGGGCAUAAGAGGGAGAAUAAAAGGAUUGCAUUGAGGGUGCACGUUUCCUAAUUGCCC
rnacentral:lncRNA from 1 species